CGUUGAGUUCUUUGAGUGAUUGCCGCCAUUCUGUAACAGCAUUCUAUUUAGAUGUUUAAAAGAAGAAUUCCAAUGUGAAUGUAAGAUAUGUGAGAAUUUAUUGUGUGAAAAGUAAAGAAGGGAACCUUUGUCUAUUGUAUUCCAAGGCCGUUGUUACAUUGGUGUUUGACUAAGUAAGAGCCGCCAUUAACAGUAUUCAGACAUUCAAAAAUGGUGAUCAAAUAGGACUGAAAGGCCGUUGUUCGAGGGCCGCGCUGUGUGCAGCCUUGGACGAGAAGCACUUUCUUAAUAGCUGCACCAUAUUUUUGCAGGUUUGUGUCAGGGUCUUACUUCAAAGAAGGAACACUGCCCUGUGUGGCUGCGGACUUUAUUGUUUUAUGUUGUUCUUUGGGAAAGAGCCCCCAUUCUGUAACAGCAUUCUAUUUCGAAAAUCAAAAGUGUAAUUCCAAUAGGAUUUGUAAGCUUUGCCUUUGCUAUUCAAUGCCAAACUCAGCAGAUUUCCAUUGACCGCAUAAUCACUGAUCAACUUAAAUUCGGGUACAUUAAUGUUAAAUUUGAAGCUCUUUUUUAUCCUAUACUUACCCAACAUCCGUAAUCGAUGUUCCAGAAAGUCCAAAUAUUUCAGCAUUUUGCAUAUUCAGAUUCAAU